rnacentral:lncRNA from 1 species
GGGGGGAGGGGCGGAAGGAAAUUUUAAGGCUUCAUAAAUCACAAACCAAAAAGAAAUAAAUCCAGGCUUUUGUUAGGCAUGAACUCAUAGAUCAAUAUCUUUUCCCCUUGUUCUAAACAGCAACCCAAUAGUCUAACAAGGUUCCUAUGUUGAAGCUUUGCUAUAAGCAGCGUCUCGUUUUUCAACUCUUCCAGCCCUUGUCCGGACCGUUUCGAAAGCCUUUUCACUGCUAUUUCUUGUCCAUUUAAUAGUUUUCCCUGCAAGCGAAAUCAUUCAAUACCUAAACUCCAUUUCUGGUAAUAGUCUUAAAAUGUGAUAGACUUAAUACCUUAUAAACAGGUCCAAAUCCUCCCUCUCCCAGCUUAUUCUCCAAGGAGAAGUUUUCGGUAGCUAUCGAUAUGCUAGCUAAGCUAAACAGCGGAAAUGCAGGGUCCUUCCUCCUAUUUCGAGAGUUUUCGGAACCCGAAAAAUCAUUGCUACUAGCUGUGAUGCUCAUCUCCAAAUCAAAGAGUAGUAUAUCCCGCCUUGUAUCUUCCAUCUCCCCUGUUCUCAGAGACAGAGAGGUCUGCAUAUGUAAGUACAUCCUUUCGAAUAUCGAACAAGCUUGCUAAUCGAUUCAGAAAAACCAAUACGAAACAAAUUACCUUUGUUUUUAAGACUCUUCCUCCACCGAAAAAUAAAGAAGGAUGCAGUAAGAAGCACCAGUAGACCAACAGGAAGUGCAAAUAUCCAUACGUCCCAUUUGGCUGCUAGAACUCGAAUUCAAGAAAGUAAGAAUGUGAAACAAUUUAAUGGUCAAUUUAGUUCAAAGUUUUUAAUAAGAAAGUACCUUUGCCAUUGUUGAAUUCGGAAGCUGCAAGUUUGACAAAGAUUUUAUGUCCUGUUGGAUAAUUUGAUGAUAAUUGUUGAAGAUUAAUAAGGUCACCGUACCAUAUUGCGCAAUGGCCUGUUGUGUUGUAUGCAUAUGCACUGCAACUGCAGUUAUUCAAGCAAGCUUCUUUGCACGAAUUCUCAUCGGAGAUCGAAAUUUGAGGGCCUAAAUAUGGAAAAGGAUUUGAAGCAUUGAUUUGCUGCAUGGAACUUAAAGGAUAGGUCACAUCAUCAAUCCCUAAGAAUCUGUCUUUAUUAUCUCCAUUCCCACAUGUUAGGGGCGUACUCCUGAUACAUCCACCAUUGUGGCCUUGUCGGUUCUCCGAUGGAUAAAAACCUCGCAAGCACUUGCAACUCUGAGUAUCCUCAAAGCAUCUACUGAAUGAGCCACAAGAGUUUAAAAUGCUACAAAACUGUCUUGGUUGAGACCAGAACAAAUUCCAUUGUUGAUAAUUUUCAAGCCAUGCAAAUUCUCUCAUACGUCCGUCAACAUCGAGGCUGAAUCUAGUUAUAGUUUCAGGAUUAUACAAUGAAUACGAAAAAUAUGUUUCGUUUUCAUCCCUAUACAAGCUGUAGUUGAAGAUGUAGUUCAAUCUCAUUUCAGGCAUCAAGUCAAAACCAUGGCCAUUCCAAGGUCCACUACUCCAUAAUAUUUCGGUACCCCUCAUGAGGAACACUUCAUUUGAUACCAUUCUCACCUCGAAAUCCCCAUUAUUUGGGUCUUCUUCAUCCAACCAAGAUGUUAGAGACCAAACUUUCCCUGUUUUAUUAUUGUAACCAAGCUUCAUCCCAGGCAAAAAAGUGUUUGAAGGGUAAUCAAAGCUCUGCCAUAGUAUAUCCAUAUUCCUAUCUCUUAGAACCAAAUUCCCAGAAUCCAACAGCGUUACACUCACAUUUUGGCUUGAUGACGGAUCAUCACUCACCCUAUAACUUAUUCUGCCAUUCACAAUCACAAGGUAUCCAUCAUCAUUGAUGGUGAGAAUCAUAGAUGAACCAGUGAAAGGAAGGUCUCUAUUGGCAAUCCACACAAUAUCCUUGGUUGCAACAUUCUUCAUCCGAAUCACCAAAUACAGAUUAGUUGAGCCAGUUGAAAAGAAUCCCAACUCAAAGGCAUUUCCAGAAGAUGUUAACAGACCUGAGGCCGUCAUGAUUUGACCUUGGAAAAGGGUAUCAGUGGCUGCAACUGUUCCAUUGAAAACCUGCAUGCAAAAGCAUGAAAAAAGAAGCAAGGAAAUACAUGGAAAUUUUCUCAUGGUCGCCAUGUUUCUUUUGCUAAUAUCGUAGUCAGCCAUUAACAGUUAUUGCAGGUAAUUUCUUCCAUUAACAGUAGUUUAAGUAAAAAAACGAAACACACCAUGGAAUGCCAAGCUUUGACCAAAGACUUUUCCUGGUUUUCCAUUAAAAAAGAAUAGGUUUCUUUGUUGUUCUUCCAUGUUCAAAGAGACAGAGGCAGUCGCCAUCAUAAAGUUCUUAUUAUAUUAUUGCGUUGCAAAACUGGGGUUGAAUCUUUGUUUUCAUGAAAUCCAUAUUGAAACCCAUUUGGUGAUAUGACUGGUUCCAAGUUUAAUUAUUGAAACCCAACCAUUAAUAAACAUUAACAUUAGUCUGAUAAUCAUUGGGUCAAUGAUGUCAGACAUGAUAUACUACUCAAACCCAUAUUUGUUUCUGCUAUUGAAGGGUUCUUACCGCUGAUAUGCUACUUAAUUAAUCAAGAAAAUAAUUAAUUAAAACUUAGAUUAGAUUAUAAAAAUUUAAUCUUUAUUAAAUUUUAAAUUAAAAAAUACUUAAAAAUCUAGUCAGUAAUAAUUCAAAGGACCUAAAUGGUUAUUUAACCAUUAAAUUGAAUUGAAAAGUGAAAAUACAAUGAAUAUCGACUUGUUUUUGAUUAGUGAAAUUAAUUAAGUAAUAAAUUAGAAUAAUCAUUAAUAAACUAAUUAACCUAUAUAUACUAAACUAAGUGGAAAGAAAGAUGAGAAACAUUCAUCUUCUUCCACCGUCCACUAAAAGAACAAAAGAAAGGAGAAAAAUUCUAUUGUUGAAAGCUUUAUUCGGCCAUACCAAAUUGCAAAGAUAAUCAAGCUAUUUUCUUCAAAUUUCUAUAGAUUCUUGAUUGUGAGAACCUUAAUCAACUAACCCAUGCAUCAAUUUUUUCAAUUAGUAAAUAUUUAACAAGUUGUCAUUAUAGAGAAAUUGAUGAUUUUGAAUUUGAUUUGAAGAACUAAAUUAAAAAAUUAUUAUAAAAUUAUACUAUAGAUAGAUAUGUAUUUGGAUAUGAAUGGGGUGAAAACUGCUAUUAUUUUUAUUAUUGACCCUGACCCAUUGCGCGAGAGGAAAAGUCGAGAAUAAUUAACAUCACAAACAAAACCAUAAGUCCAGAGCAAACAAAACCUAAGAUCAAUUUCGGGUUUUUGAGUACUUGAGAUUCAAGCAUCGUUUCAGAAAUUCGAACGGCCAAGAUGUUGAAAGUGGUGACGAGAAGCCAUGGUUGAAGUUCCAUGACGAUUCAACAGUCAGAUUUGCAGAUCGUGGCUUGAAAAGUUCUAAAGAUUGUGAAAAAUUUUAUAAGUUUUGAUAAGUUUUUCAAGAAAGCUAACUGGAGAAUCAGAAAGAAGAGAAAAAGGCGAAUCGUUUGGUCCCAAUUUUGACUUGAAUGGAGGCCGGAGGGCAGCAUAAUGAUGACGACGACUGAGUCUCUCAUGGAAGAAGAGAAUAGAAAGGAAAAUAAUGAAGGAAGUAGGAGAAGAACAAAAAGAAGGCUAAUGUUUCAACUUAAUUUCUCCAAUACUUAAUAAAUAUAUUUAAAGAGAUAUUUACCAUAUUGGGUCUUGUUAUUUUAUUUAAAUUUAAAAACUUAAAAGGGAUAUUUAAUCUUAGACCCUUCGUUCAAUUUUUUUAAAACCUGACAUGACUCAAAAGAGGUUUUUUUUGGUCAUAUGUCAAAUGUGAGGUUGUAACAUGUUACUAAUCUAAUCAUGAGUCGAACAGAGUUUGGGUCAGGUCAGUGCAAGAUUUUAGCUCCAUUUUCUAGGCUUAGGAUCGGCUCAAAAAAUGAGCUUAAAAUUCUGUCUAAAUCCGAUUUAAAUUAAAAAUGUUAAACCUGAGUUUGAUCUAAUCCACCCGUAUUAAUUUUUUAGAUAAAAAUAAAUUUAAAAAAUAUAAUACAUCAAAUACAGUACAAACAUUAAAAUAAGUAUUUCUCAACAAAUUAAAAAUACAUUAAAAAAAUCUUUAAACUUAAAUAAUACUAAAAUAGUUGGAGCUCGGUUAGCAAAUGACUCUAAAAUAGGAGCAAAAUUAAUAAUAAAACAAGAAUCAUAUAAUAUUUAAACAAUUACAACAAAAUAGUAACAAUAUAAUAAUAAAAUGACAGGAAAAUAACAUAUUCGGGCUCGAGCCAAAAAUCCUACCAAAGGCUUGAAUCGUUUAGAAAAUGAGUCUUAUUUUUUUUUUAUCAAAACCUAUUUUUUAACCUUAUAUGUUUACUCAAAUUUUCUCACUUUUCGACCUAACCUUCAAAUUUGAGCUGAUGAAACCUGGUUAAUUUCAGCAUCCAUGUAAACCUAGUUUUAUGAGAGUUAGUCACAAAGUACUAAGUUGGGUUGUAUAAGAACUCCUAUUUAUGUAUAUAAUAAUGAUAUUAAGACGUAGUUCCAUAAAACAAGAAAACCAAAGGCAAUCCAAAAGGAAAGACAAGCAGCUUGUUGUAGAAGAGAGGUUGAACAAAGUCCCCAAGCAUGUUAAAGCCCGCAAAUGCUUAGUUUCCUUGCACGUCACUCACAUCCAUUACCCUGCCCUCUCUCUACUGUUGUUAUAUUCGCAUGGUACCAAAAUCCCUUGCCCAUCUCGCACUAAACUGAAUAUUCUUCUUGUUAAUAUCACCCCCUUUUUUAUCUUCAUAUAUUUAUCUUCACAUUCAAUCAACACAUCGUUGAAAACACUGCAAUGGGGAAUUGUCUUACAUCCUCUUCUUCGUCAGAUGUCUCCAAGAAGAAGAAGGCUUUGCCAAUAGAUACUGCUUUCAGGCUUCCAUCUCCCUUACCAACAUGGCCUCCAGGUACCCCCCCCUCUCUCUCUCUCUCUCUCUCUCUCUCUCUCUCUCUAAUGGCUUUGGCUGGUUAAAUCACUUGCAUAUAACUCAAGGAUCGAUAUAUAGUUUUACAAAUUCAUCCAUUUCGUUAAUGAUUAUUAAAACAUGGGAUAAUAUGAUUUAUGGCCUCUAAACUUGGCAACUAGCUUCAAUUGGAUACUUGCACUUUUUUUUUUCUUUUUUAUCCUUGAACUUGGCAACUAAAUAACUUUUGGUUCUUGAACUUGGGUUCUAUUAAGAUUUGAAGAUGUGACAUUCUAAGAGCUGAUCGAUAUAAUAGUUCGAAUAAAGGUGUUGAAUCAAUUGACUCGAAAAUUGCUUGAAAUUGAUAAAAAUUGAAAAUCAAGAUAAAAAUUGAGAGUUGAACAAGUUGAACUAGUUUGAUAAUUUUUUAGAUUUUUAUGAAUUUUUAAUUAUUUAUUUAAUUAUAAUUGAUCCAAUGGUCAAAUUGAUCAAAUUAAGCACUGAAUUUGGCAUUCUGAUAUUGUACCAUAUCAUUACUUAGAACUUUGCAUAAAUUUUGUAAUUUUCAAGUGAUAAUGUAACAUAAUCUCAUAAUGUUACAUCAUUAUACUUUUAUAUUUUUCAAGUUCAUGGACUAAAAUAUAGACCUAUUUGUCAAGUUCUAGUAAAUGGACCAAAAAAAAAAUUACAUGUAUAAAGUGAACCUAAUUGUCAAGUUCAGGGAUCAAAUAUAGAUGUAGUUGUCAAGUUAAAGUACCAAAGUGGACUCAAAAAAAGUACAUGUACUAAAGUGAAUUUAAUUGUCAAGUUCAGGGACUAAACAUUAUAUUAUCCCUUAAAAGAUUAAUGAUUAUCGACAUGAGAAUACAUGUGAUGUGAAGUGAUAUAUUUUGUCAAAAUUUUAUUUAAGUUGACGAAUUUAAACAUUUCUUUCAAGAUAUUAAUUUGAUAAUUGCACGCAACAUGAUGGAUUACAUUACAGGAGAAGGGUUUGCGAGUGGAAGUAUUGAUCUUGGUGGAAUACAUGUGUGCCAGUGCGGAAUAUCAUCAUCUUCCCCAAAAGUAUGGGCAACUCACGAAGGGGGACCAGGAAAUCUUGGGGCCUCAUUUUUUGAACCAUCAUCAAUACCAGAUGGGUACUACAUGCUAGGCUGCUAUGGGCAGCCCAACAAUAGGUUGCUUUCUGGGUGGGUUCUUGCAGCGAAAGAUGACAGUGAUGAUGAUUCUUUACUAAAACAACCCAUCGAUUACACCCUUGUCUGGAGCAGUGAGUCUUUGAAAAUCAAGCAAGAUGGCAACGGUUAUAUUUGGUUGCCUAUUGCUCCACAAGGAUACAAGGCAGUUGGCCAUGUUAUCACCAACACCAAAGACAAGCCUUCCCUGCAGAAAAUACGUUGCGUCCGGUCUGAUUUUACGGAUGAAACCGAGAAUGAUACAUGGAUAUGGGGACCUGGUAAAGAAGUGGAUGCAAAAGAGAUCAACUUUUUCAGUUCAAGGCCCAAAAAUAGAGGAACCCAAUAUAUGGGAGUUCGUGUAGGAACAUUUGUCGCCCAAAAUCCUCCUCUACCAUGUUUGAAAAAUGUCAAAGCUAAUUUAUCUUACAUGCCUAACCUACGCCAAAUCGAGACACUGUUCCAAGCUUACUCUCCUUGGAUUUAUUUCCACCCUAAUGAAGCUUACCUCCCAUCGUCUGUCAGUUGGUUCUUUGUGAAUGGGGCACUACUGUACAUGAAGGGAGAAGAAUCCAAGCCAGUUCCUAUACAGGUAACGGGUUCAAACCUUCCCCAAGGCGGUGCAAAUGAUGGUAACUAUUGGCUAGAUCUUCCCAUAGACGAAGCAACCAAGGAAAGAGUAAAGAAAGGAGAUUUGCAAAACUCCCAAGUUUAUUUGCAUGUAAAACCUAUGUUGGGUGCAACCUAUUCAGACAUAGCGAUAUGGGUGUUUUACCCCUUCAAUGGAGCGGCAAAGGCUAAGGUAGAAUUCAUCAACAUUUCAUUAGGAAGGAUAGGUGAACAUGUUGGUGACUGGGAGCAUGUGACUUUAAGGGUCAGCAACUUUAAUGGAGAAUUACAUAGUAUGUAUUUCUCCGAACACAGUGGAGGUUCAUGGGUGAAUGCAUCAGAGCUUGAGUUCCAAGGUGGGAAUAAACCUUGUACCUAUUCAUCAUUGCAUGGCCAUGCCAUGUAUUCAAAACCUGGACUAGUCUUGCAAGGAAGUGGAGAGAUAGGAAUUAGAAAUGACACUGCCAAGAGUAAGAUUGUUAUGGAUACAGGCCUCCAGUUUUCAUUAGUUGCAGCGGAGUAUUUGGGUUCCACGACCAUUGUUGAGCCGCCAUGGCUCAACUAUUUCAGGGAAUGGGGUCCGAAGAUUAGUUAUAACUUGGCAGAUGAGAUCAAGAAGGUGGAAAAAGUAUUGCCUGGAAAGCUUAAAACUGCUUUUGAGAAAUUUAUUAAUGGCCUUCCAGAUGAAGUGCUAGGGCAAGAAGGGCCAACGGGUCCUAAGGUGAAAAGGAACUGGAACGGAGACGAGGUUUAGAAUGCUGCUUUGAAUUAUAGCAGCCUUGUUAUGAAAUUAUUGCACAAGGAUAAGGAAAUUUACAAACUUCCUAUGUUAAUCCCAAUACAAUGUCAAUAAUGUCAAUGUAAAAUUGUUACUUUUAUUCUUAUAAAAUAAACAUCAAACAAACAACUAAGAAAUUUGACAACAACUAAACAAGUAUAUGUUAUUUAUUUAUCAAUAGGAUAUUUAUAAUUACUCUUAAAGUUUAUGUUUAUAAUAAAAAAAUAUAAAAUUUUACUCGUAUAUAUACACAUCUCACACUUGGUAUUUAACCAAUGUGGGAUCUAAGCUUUACUUUUCCUUAACAAAUAUUUCCAAGUAGCUUACUUUGAGUAUCAAUUUCUCAUUCACCACUCAACUAUUUUGAGUAUAUGUAAUACCGUUGUAAAGGUCUCAUGGAGUAAAAUAUAAAAUCAUAAUUUUAUAAUUCAACUCUCUAACGUUAACUAUUGAGAAUAUGCCUGAAAGUUCCCAUAAUAUACAAUUUUUCCAACAGGGUCAAGUCCGAUGUAUUGUCAAUUUAAACAAUCAUAUCCAUGUCUCUAUUUUUGGGAGUGAACUACUUCGAUAGCCAAGACAAACUAUCUCCCUAACUAGACUUAUAGACGACAUAAUGAUCCUUUACUUAUUUGAAUCAAUUGCUCAAUUUGAUUUUGGGGACUAUGGACAAUUUAGAUUACAUACUAAUAAGAAAAGUUAUCUUCUCGCAUUAUAAUUCAUUCUUAUAAUGCAACUUAUUGUUAGUUAAAGUUUAGGUUAUUAAGGAACAUAUAUUUACUUAUUCAUUUUGGUUUUCAUGCACAAACCAUGAGGGCAAUCAUCCAAAUAUUAAUUAAUCAAACAUGUAAUAAUUUUAGCUGAAAUUGUUGAUUAGUCCCUAAAGGAUCAACUUGUUCGGUGUUUUGAACAGUCAGUUCAUAUAGAAUUUAUUAUUUUAGGCGGUUAUGUGUUUGAUUUUAUUUAUGUAUGUUUGACUAUGGAUUGAUUGGUUGCGAAUUGGUAAGAAAGGCUAGAAUUGGACUGAAUUGAAAUGUGACAAUAAUGUGUAAAAGAAGCCCAUGUGAACUUAGAAAAAGCUUAUGGUACGAUUGGCAUGCUAAUAGGGUUUUGUGCAUGCUUGUACGGGAUUUAUUUCAAAUAUUAACGACAUCCAACAUUCGUUGCCGAUUCUCAGGCAUUAUGUAACAUUUGUAUAGCUCAUAUGAAUAACCUAAUAUGUCAUGAUUUUGGUUUAGCCAAGACAGGUAACCAUAUGUAUAUAAAUGUACACAACUCAAAUGAUCAACUAGUAUGGUGUAGUUACCUAUGUAUCCAAGUUUGUUUACUAGGGCUUAUCGGGCAAAAUAGUUUAAAUGAAAUUGAGAAUUUGAAAUGUGAUUAAAUGAACUUGGUACCCAAAUUGGAAAGUCACUGAAUGGAUUGAAUUGUAAAUGGUACAAUUUUCAUGAUUGAUAAUAGCACCAAUGAUUGAUUUGAAUUAUGUAUACCUAUUAAUAUCUUAUGGUUGUUGAUUGAAUAUGCAUUUGAGAUAAGUUACAUAAAAGUGACAUGAAUUGGCAUGUUAAGUGCUUGUAGUAUUAAAUGAUAUUGAUUACAAUGUUCACUUUGUUGGUGUUUUUAUUUCAAUGUCUAGCCAAAGUUAUGUCAAGUUAAGGUAACUUAAAAUGUUUAGGUAACAAUAAGGUAAGCUUUGUAUAAUACAUACGAACUUACUAAGUGACCGCCGCUAAACGUAUGAACGUUUAACUAGAAAAUACCACACCAAAAAUAUAUAAAAUUAAGUAAGCAGUAUCCAUAAGUAUACGGGUCAAAUUGUAAUAUAGUAAAGUGUUACAACGAAACAUAGGGAAGUAUUCCGAGGAUCGUACCCAAGGGAUUACAGAUUGGAGAAUCUUAUUAUUAAAUUAAUUACAAAUAAUAAUUACUAAUCUAAUCGAUUUACAAGUUAGUAGUGUGAAUCCAAAUUAAAGUAGUGAUUAAACUAAUUAAAUUACUAAACCUAAAUUAACCUAAUGGAAUUUCCUAUUCCUAGUUUCAACAAUGCAAGCCUCUAACCUAUUAUCAAUUAAAUUUCUAAUUAACAUGCAGAAGAUUAACUAAUUUCAGAACUUUAGGAUUUUAGUGAAUUUGCUAUUAAUUAAUCAAUAUUACCUCCUGGCCUCUAUUAAUUAACUAAUCGACAAAUACUCACUUAUCUCCCGACCUUGCUUUCUUUACCGAGAUAAAUUAUGAUUAACUUGGAAAGCUUAUCUCCCAACCUUGUUUAACCUGCAUUACUUUCCAGGGUCGUCAAUCCUAGAGUUUAGGCACACAUAAUUUAUACCAACUAAUUCUAUAAUAAACUCUUAUUCUUCAAUUAAUUAAUCAGAACCAUAACUGAAUCAUGCAAGAUAGAAAUAAAGCACAAGAUUUUAUGUUAAUACUCAUACAAACGUUAAUUGGUUAGAUAAAUGAAAUAUAAAUAAAAUAAAAUAAAAGAGUAAAGAGAAUGCUCAUAAAUAUAUAUUGAAGCGCAGUUCUGGAACAAUCUCUGCUUACAAUUGUCUUCACGUCGGAAUAAGAUUUUUCGACUACAGAAAAAUAAACUACUAAAGAAAAAAUACAAAGAAAACUAUGUGGCUAGGUCUAAAAAUUUGAUGUCCAUUAAGGUUACAGGAACCUCUUUGUAUAGGCUAAUUUUGGUGUGCAUUAUGCCUAAAAUACCUUUUAUACUUUGGGUGCUAGUAAUACAUAAAAUAUGAGAAAAUCUGUCAAGAUACGACUACUAACAUCAUCACUGCUUGCGCCCUAUAUUCAGGCUAUGUUGCAACACAAGCCAGGCUACAUCUCAACAUAGGGGUUGUGUUGCAACAUAGGGGAAGCUAUAUUUCAACACAGGUGCUAUAUCGCGACAUAAGGGAAGGUGUGUCGCGACACGACACCGAUUUCUUAAGCUUGGAGUUCUGGUUUCACAUGUUGUGUGUCAGAAAGCUUGGGUAUGGUUUCUUAGGCUUUUCAGCUUAGAAAUGCCAUCCUACACAUUCAAAUAGACUGAUUAGCAUUGCCUAAGGCCUGUAUUGGCCUAAUAGGUCAACUAAUAUAAAUUAUUGCGUAAAAAUGCUUAUUUUUCUAAUAAUCUAAACCUAAGCUACUAAAGCUAAAAAUGUAAUAAUUAAAUAUAAAAUAUUUACCUAAGCUACUAAAGCUAAAAAUGUAAUAAUUAAAUAUAAGAUAUUUAUAAAACAAGCUCGUUAAGUGUUGAAAUGUACUUAAACUACCAUUAUAAUUGGCGACGGGUCACUAAGCAUCCUAUAUGCUUACCUUUGUUGUUUACUUUCCUUUGUAGAUAGUCGCCUUAUGGAACUUGUUAAGCCGAAUCCUCUAAAAGCUCACACCAUCACCUAAUUGGUAGUUAAGCGAUCAUUUUGAAUCUAGAGUUGUUGCAUGUAUAUAAGUGUCUUGGUGUGUACCUUAGUAUUUAAAAGUGUUUACAACUUGGCUAGUAUGACAUCAUCAUUUUGUAUAAUGUGUUGUUUUUGGGGUACAUGUAUGGUAUUGGUUAUAUUUUAUGCUAGAUUAAGUGAUGAUCUAUAAUCAUAUGUUUGGCAUGUGGAAUGACAUAGAUUGAGGUAGGAAAGGUAGCUUGGUUAAUGAAUGAUUGAGAUGGAUAUAUAUUUGGAAUUUAUACUUGUAAUAUGUGAUUUAUACUUACUUGUCAAUGUCCAUGCUAAAGGCUUAUAAGCUAUUGUUGUGUAUAAUGUGGAAAAUUGUAUGUACUGAAUGUUGAAUGACAUGUCUUAAUAUGUUUUGACAAAGGUAAAUUUUGGUAUUUGAAUACAUGUAAUGUCAUGAAUUGGUUUUGAAUAGAUUGAGAUCAUGUUUGAGUUGGAUUUAGUUGGAAUUGGUUAGGUAAUUUGUUAAACAUGAAAUGGUAUGAAUUUGACUUGGUUUCAAUAGUAUAAGAUGGUAUAAAUAAAAUAGCAUUACAUAUAUUGAAAUGGAACCAAAAUGGUAUUUUUACCAAAAACAGAGACUUCAUCAUGACCACAAACAUCCAACGCUGCAAUGUAGUGCCGACAACGAGUGACGUCGUGACGUUGGUGUGAUCAAAUUCGUGAUGUGGCUUACUGAGUUGGAGACGUCACGACGUGGAGAUUGUGAAGUCGCGACGUCAGCCCUGAAUUUUCAAAAAAUUACAGUUUGGUCUUAAUUCAAGCUUAGGUUAACAAAAGAGCUUUCGUAAGCUUGUGUAAGACCCAAAAAUGAUUGUGUAAUACAUUAUGUACUUGAAUGGUAUUUAUUUAUGUAUUUAUAUGAUUAUAUGUUACAAGAUGUUUUGAAUUUAUUAGAUGUAGCAUCGGUAACUUGGACCUGAGACCAAGUCAGGUAUGAGGUGUUACGGUGUGUCUCUCUCACAUCCCUCAUGAAUUCCUCAAGAUUGACCACUUGACCUUCCAAAGCUAAUAGCAUAUCCCUCAAUUGGCUAGCUUUCCUAACCUUCCCACUAGUCUUCAUUGACUCAAUCUGAUUGUCUACUCAUUUUAUCAUCUCGACCGGCACCUUCGAACCUUAGCUUGGAUACCAAUUGUCACGGGGCUAGAACUUUAGUCUCCUAAUUCCUGUGGCUUUAAGUGAUUUCUUGGGUUCAAAUUCGCCUAAGUCAGCCUUACUCUUACAAAAGUGAGAAUUCACAAUAAAAAUUCUCCAAAACAACUCAGAGACAAAGAAUCAAUGAAAGAACAAAAAAAGCCACAAUAAAGCAACACUCACAAGGUGUUUGAGUGAAUUCUCUCAAUAUUAUUCAAUUACUAUGAAUGAGUACAAUAGGGUUGAAUGAGAUGAUUACAAAUUAGGGAGAAUGUCUCUAUUUAUAAUUGAGCUCCCUAGAUCCAACAGUACAGUUUAAUUUACAUCACGGCCAAGAUCAAAGCCAAUCUACAAAUUGAGAUUCUUAAGGUAUUUACACAAUCCUCUAAGAUUCCAAAAUCAAAUCUAUUAAUAUUAUAAAUAUUCUAAGAUUAGUUUUCAUAUUUACCAUGGCAACUCUAGUUUUCCUUAAAUGCUUCAUUAGACCACCAAGACUUCAAGUAGAUGGGCUGCUCCAUAUGUUCCAUGAAUCGGGUAAGUUCAAUGGGUCAAAUGAGCCCCGUUUAAUCAAUUAACCUCCAUGAGACACUUUGUGUAAUCAUGGAUUUUGAUUUGCGGCCUAAGUCACUAAUAUUAGGUAACUUUUGUUAUCUUAUUUUUCGGGUGUUUUUAUUUCUCAAAGUAUUAUGGGUUGGAAGCCCUCAGAUUAAGUCAUUUUAUAAGUUGUCUAUCUUAUUUAAUAAAGUGGAUUAUAGCAAAAAUAAAAAGAUUUUCAUUUAUUUUAUUAUAUUUGUUUUUCUUAAAAUUUUAAUAAGUUUUCCAAUUUAAACAUAACUAUGAAUAAAUGAAAAGUUUCUUCCAAUAUAUUAUUUUCUUUAAUUCAAUUAUGUAUCUAAAAAUUAUUAUUUUUUAAUUAUGUUGUAAGCAUAAAAAUUUGGGUUCGAUCUCAAGUAAUUUCAAUUUUCUCUCUUAAUUAUUAAUAAAUAAAUAAAUAAUUUUUUAAGGUGAGUUCCUUCAUUUCAUUAACUAUGAAAAUUAAUAAGAUGUGAUUUUUCAUACCAUGAUUUUGUAUAUUUUAUUUUUUAAUUCUUUUUAAUAUUAUUUCGAUCAAAUUUAUUAUAUGAUUGAAUGUUUUGAUAAUAAAAAAAAUAGCAUAUAAAAAUAGGGUUUUAUAUAACCAAUCCAAACAUACCAUUUUAUGAAGAGAGUACAAAAAUUUAUUAAAUUUUAAAAGAGUUAAAAAUAGAUUUUAAAAUAUUAGUAAUAUAAUACUAAGCUCUAAGAGUACAUUUUAAUAUGAGGAUUUUAAAAGGGUUAAGAUUUUAUUAUGUGUUUUUAAAUUAUAUUUAAAAAAUUAAAAAUAAAUAAAUAAAAUAUGUGAAAAAAAUUUCAACCUCAACCGUCAAUGUAUCAAAUUACAUUAUUAAUAAUCCCAACUCUUAUAAUUAAUUAUUGUUUGAUGUUAUGUAUAUACGUUUUCCUAUCCAUAUCCGAAGUUCGUGGCUGCCCCUCUGAACAAUAUUGUCUCUAAGAUUCGAACUUUUGAUAUAAUGUCUAGAACUACUCAUAAUCCCUCUCAAACCUAUAAAUAGAAGAAUAAUGCCGUUAGUGCACUCGAAUUCACGUCCUAUUUUAUUGGCAAUAAUAUUCAUGUUAAUUGAGCUAAGACUCAAUCGACAUAAUCUUUUAAUUUUUGAAUCGAUAGCAUUUUUACCUUUUUGAAAUAAAUAUAGAAUUCUUUUAGCUUGUUCAAAAUUUUUUUCAAAAAAAUAUUUUUUAUUUUAUUAAAAUAUAUUUUUUUAUUUCUAUGAAUAUAUUAAAUAUUAAAAAUAUAUACUAUAAUGUGUAGUAUCUAACUAACACAUGUACUUUCAUAGCAAAGAGGGCUCCUAAUGGACGAAGGCUUUGAACUAAGCAUUUGAACCGCACCCAAUUUACUUAAGUCUCUACCUAUAUUUGAUAGCAGAUUUUCAAAAUUUCUGGAUGUUGGUUUUUUUUUUCUUUAAAUAAUUUCAUUUAAUCACAACUGCUCUUUUUAAUACAAUGCCUAAAACUACUUUUAAUGCAUUCGAACAUAUGUUCUUGUACACUAGUAACAAUGCUUAUAUCAAUUAAGUUAAGACUCAAUCGUGGGAUGUUAGGUGUUACAUGAGCUAUAAUCGAAAAUAACUAUCGAGGUUCCAUCAAAGAAACUGUGACGUUAUUCACUGAAAAAUUUGCAGGCUUAUUUGAACUAUUUGUCAUAUUCCUAGCAUUAGAGAAAGCAGGCUUUUUGGGAGAAUUUAGAACCGUGAGCUCAUUGGUAAGCAUCGCAACAACUUCCGACAUUGUCGGUCUGUCGGCUGCCAUUUCUUGAACACAAAGAAGAGCCACAUUAACGUAUCUCUGCUGCGUAGGACAUGGAACCUGGUCUUUCAAUUUAGGAUCCAUCAACUCAACAACUCUAUCUCCUUUCCACAGUUCCCAUGCCUGAAGUGAAGCCAACAUGAUUGAAUGUAAAACUGGAGGUAAAAUGGGAAAAAAAAAAAAAAAACCAAGUUUCUUGGAUUCAAAUGAGAGUAUCAAGUUCGGGUUUAAUGGAGAAAGUUUGUGACUCACAUGUCCAAUUAGAUUAAGAGAACUGCAGUGGUAAAAGCCAGUGUUCUUCUUGCCACUUAUUAUCUCCAACAGCAGCACACCGAAGCUGAACACAUCAGAUUUAAUGGAGAAAAGACCCUCCAUGGCAUAUUCAGGCGACAUAUAGCCACUGUAUGUUCAUCAUUUUAACACAAAGGCAAUUAGAUUCUUAAGUGAAAGAGACAUAAAAAUAGCAGAUGCCAGACAGUAUUGUAAGUUUCUGGAGGUUUGAAGUUCGCUUACUAUGUUCCUACAAUCCUAUUGGUAUUUGCUUGUAACUUGUCACCACCAAACAUUCUUGCCAACCCGAAAUCCGAUAUUUUCGGGUUCAUUUCACUGUCUAACAGGAUAUUGCUUGCCUUGAGAUCUCGAUGUAUGAUUCGUAAUCUUGAAUAUUGGUGAAGAUACAGAAGCCCUUGCGCAAUCCCCUCGAUUAUUUGAACUCUUGUUCCCCAGUCUAGUAAUCCUUCAAUGUUUGAACCUGUUACAAAUUUUGCAAAAAAAACAAAAAUGUAGCAUACCAAAGUAAAAUCUUGGCCAAAAAGGAAGUUUUAAGGAUUUAUAAAAUCACAAACCGAAAAGAAAAAAAUCCAAGCUUUUGUUAGGCAUGAACUCAUAGAUCAAUAUCUUUUCUCCUUGUUCUAAACAGCAACCUAAUAGUCUAACAAGGUUCCUAUGUUGAAGCUUUGCUAUAAGCAUCGUCUCGUUUUUCAACUCUUCUAGCCCUUGUCCGGACCUUUUCGAAAGCCUUUUCACUGCUAUUUCUUUUCCAUUUAAUAGUUUUCCCUGCAAGCGAAAUCAUUCAAAACCUGAACUCCUUUUCUGGUAAUAGUCUUAAAAUAUGAUAG